rnacentral:rRNA from 1 species
UACAGAGGGUGCGAGCGUUGUCCGGAAUCACUGGGCGUAAAGGGCGCGUAGGUGGCUUACCAAGCGUGUGGUGAAAGCGCGGGCUCAACUCCGCGUCGGCCGUCGAUACUGCUGGGCUUGAGCACUGUAGAGGCAGGCGGAAUUCCGGGUGUAGCGGUGGAAUGCGCAGAUAUCAGGAGGAACACCAAUAGCGAAGGCAGCUCGCUGGACGUUACUGACACUGAGGCGCGAAAGCGUGGGAGCAAACAGG